UUGGUCCCAGAUUUGGAUUUGUUCCAAAUUUUUUCUCUAAAAAUCGUAUGAUUUUUCGCGGUUUGUAGCCUAGAAUGAAUAUCGAACUAAUAUCUAUUCACUUGCAAAAAUCCAAGCUAGACGUUAAAGAUUUGUGGUUAUUUGCCUGCAUACCAUUGUUCUUGCUCAUUCAAAUCACUUCUAUACAAAGAAUUUCUUGAUUGUUGUCUCAUAUACUGUUCUAAUAUUAUUUUCUCUUGGAGAUGCCGAGUAUUGAGUAAGAAGAGGAAUUAUCUCCCCCUAUCGUGGUACCCGAUACCAUUUUAAUGAAUUUAGAAACCGUGAAACAAUGAGAUGCAUAGAAAUCCUAAUCCUAAAGUCCAACAAACACAAAAAGGAAAUUUCAAGAAGAGAAUAGAGAAUGGGUUAGCAAAAGGGAUGAGGCUGGGAGAUUUUCCAUUGUAGGUCAGGACAAUAAGUAUGAUAAUCUUUAGAACUUGUAUGUGUGUAAUACUGAUUCAUGAGGUACAUGGUUUGGUAUCAAUGUGAAAGUUACCUCUUACUGUUUUAGAAUGUAAAUUGGUCGAUUACCCAAAUACGGGACUCGGGAGAUUGGUAAGAUUUUUAGUGUAUUUGGUAGUCUAUUAUUUUUGCAUGACUUGUAGCCACUUUAGCAAACAAGCACAUUGUAUCCUUUCAGUUACCUUGAAUGGUAGCUCCUAAGAUUCAUAAUAGAGAUCAGGAAUGUAUGGGUUGUAUGUCUAAAAGUAAAUGAUUUCUUUUUUAAAUGAGAUGAUGUAGAAAUUAGCAUGCAGGUCAAUUUUUUGCCUGCUUUGCUAUCAUUCUUUUCAAUUGGUGGAAUUUAAAGAUAAAAAGCUGGUCCCUGAUAAAAUGGAUCUCCAGGAAGUGUAAAGCAAGUCCCAUCUCUCAGGAUAUUAGUCAUGCAACCAUUCAUUGGUUUUAAUUUUGUUUUUCACGUCAAGGAAAAGUAACUUGUAAGACCUAGCUCUUAUUUAAACAAAAGAGAAGAAAAUAAUUUAUUGUAUUAAAAGUUAGAUUUGUUUUUAUGUGGGCCUUCUGUGAGAUUUCCUUAAAUAAUGGGAGUUGAUAGCAAGAUAAUGAAAGAGGUAUGUGCUGGUGUGCACGUGGACUUCUUAGGGGGUGAGUGUGUGCACGUGGAACUUAAUGGUGAGGGUGAGCUGUGAGCCGUGGGAUAUUUUGCAUGAUUUUACCUUAUAUACUCUUUAACACUUCAUUUAGAGGGGGAAAAAGUUUCCCUGGUGGGAAAUAAAAAAAAUUGGGUUAGAGAAGGGGAGGGAGGAAUUCAGGAGAGGGGAAAAUGGUUUGUUAAAGGGGUUGCAACGCACAGUAGAAAAAUGAACGAUAAGAUGAGAGGAAGAGAGUGAGGUAUAUUGUACAGGUAAGGGUAUGUGGAAAGUGUUUCCACAAAGGGGCCUAUAAAGGAACAUAGAUUCAAGGACAGGCUUACACUUUCGCCAGCUCCGGAUGAAAAUGCCCCCAAGUCCGGAAACUAGCGGGUUGAAUCUACUCCUUUUGGGUUUUGGGCAUUUUAGUAAUUUCAUACUCAAAAGUGGUGGGCCAUAGACACCAUUUAGGUUAUUUACAGAUUACUUUAACGGAUUUUCGGACUUUUGAUGUUUUCCUUCUGUGUCCCGGUUUUUAUACAUUAUUUCGUCCUUUAGUAGUGUUGGGCUUGAGGGCUUUUUGGUAAAAUCACAUCAUUAUUAUACUAUGCAUGCGAAAAUUUCAGUUGAAAUUCAGCCCAGUUUCUCCAAUUCAAUCAGCCAGUCCAUUGUCUUUCCUCCAGUCUAUUGUCCAGUUCGCGUUUUUUGGGCUCAUUUGAGGCCCAAAUUUUUAAUCGGAAUCAUUCAUCAUGUAGAUCUCGUCCAAACAAACUACAAUACCAAAAAUCAAAGCCCAUCGGAUAUGAAUUGAUACCUGAUCAAUACACAUGUAUUUGAUAAAAAUGGUAUUGGGCACAAUGGAUAUAACCCGUUUUUAGCAAGUUUAUAUGUUCCGAUCAGUUAUCAAUACAUAUUCGAUGGACUUGAUUUUUGUUGUGGUGGCUCGUCUCGACGAAAUCUACAUGAUGAGCGGUUUCAAUUAUCAACGUGAAUCAUACCAUGAGGAACAAGGAUGGAGAAAUUAUGUGAUAGAAAGAGAGUGAUGAGUGGGUCAGAGAGACAAAUGGUGGUGGCGGUGGUGAGAGAGGGAGGGGCGAAGACUUCGUGCUUUAGGUUCAGAUCCAGAAAAUCGAGAGAGAGAGAGAGAGAGAAAGAGAGAAGGAGAAGGAGAAGGAGAAGAAGGAGGUGGUAUCGCCGGUGAUCGGUGGUGGUGUCGGUGGCCGUAGAUUUUGAUGUAAGGGCAGAGAUCGAGAGGUUGCAGAGGCGUCUUCUCCUUGGGGUAUUUUGCCUUAAUCACCUGCUGCCGUCUUUAAAUUACCAAAACUCACCCACGGCGAGCUCACCAAUGCCUUGCGCAAGAGGGAAAACCAAUCCCUACCGAGCUCAAAAACAAAGAAGCCGAACUACGCCGGGAUAUCAACCUAGAGGACAAAAACUGCCAGUACACUUUGUUUUGGGUUACUCUUUGUUUCUCAACCACAACCUCCACGAAAUCGUCCAGAAUACUGAGCCAAUUUGGAAAUUGAUUUACCCCAUUUGAGUUCGCUCUCAACCAAUUUAAAGCUGUCUCCAAAGAUAGGAAUGUACGUGUGUUUAUAUAUAUAGGUGUAGGUAUCGUGUUUUCCUUGGUCUCGUUUUUUUGUGUUACAUAUAGUUGCCAUUAUGUAUCGGAUACAUAGCAAACGAAUCCAUACUGUGUAAUACAUGUGUCACUUAUCCACAUCCAUGGAUUAUAGAAAGCAUUAGAAAAGAUGAUGGCAUAAUAAACUAGAUUUGAGCAAUUAAAUAAAAUACUUAAGUGAAAAGAGAAGUGCACAAUAAAGGCUGUGGAUUGUUCUACUCUUUCACUGUGAACAGUUGAGACUUACAAUGGAAACGCAUUGUCUGUGCGGCCCAUUAAAAAUAAAGAAGUAAACUUGCUUUGAACCCAUAGCUAAUAGUUAAUUGCUGAAUUUCAAAUCUUGCAUCAGAAAACUACGAUGUUUCGUGGUUUUCUUUAUAUUAUGUACCAAAGAAUGCUUGAAUUUUUCUUCACAGACAGACUUAGUCUACCGUUAAUGUGUGAUUUGUUUGUUAUGUGUUUUGUUGUUAUCCUUGUAUCUAAACUCUAUAGCGUACCCUGUAUACUUGGUAUGUAUAUGAGCAUCGUUGUGCAAUUGUGGCAUUUCUAACUAAUGAGCCACAGUGGUAGGUGGUUUGGUUUGAAGAAAAAAGAGAUCACAAAGGGCAAUAUCAUUCUGUAUGGGAGUUUUGUAAGAAAGUUCUGUAUUUAUAGCAUUGAUAUAUGUACUUUAACUUUUGCAGGUAAUCACAAAAGAGUCUUUUUUGGCUGCACAGUUAAAAGAGAAACAUCCUUUUAUUUACCUUUUGUGUUGCUGUUGUGAAUAUAUCAGCUUUUUCUUGAAAGAUUGAAAUUUUAGCUCCUGUGCAUUAUUUUAGAGGCAAGAUUUGCAUAGGGUAAAGGAUUUGCCGUCUCUGGGAGAAUUUCACGCCUGAACUCUACUCAUUCAUUUUCGCUGGGAUGUGGAGAAGUUUGCGGUGCUUGUGGAGAAGUCAUAAAUAGGAAGAUGAGGAAAUAACAGGAAGUUCUUUCUUGUUUGAUGAAGCGGGUGCAACUGUAGUUGAAAAACAUGAUCUUGAUUCAUCUUCGUUUGCCACUGUGGCAUGCAAUAUUUGCAUGGAGGAUGCACCUGGUACUGUAGUGACAAAAAUGGAAUGUGGCCACAACUUUUGCAACAUCUUUGCACACUCACCCUAUUCGUGUUUGAUGCCGGAGCUAUGGACCAGGAAGUGUCAUGAUGAGUCUGAGACAAUUAAUUGGAUUACUGUACAUACAAUACAUUGUCCAAAGUGUCACAAACGAAUGGAAAAGGACAAUAGCUGCAACUUGGUGAGCUGCAUAUGUCGGCAAGCAUUUUGGAAAAAAUCUGGAAUUCUUUUGUUCAUGGCCAUAUGAAGAAAGCUUGUGAUAUUUGUCCUUUGGUGUGGGCGAGAAUGUUUUAUUCAUCGUCGUACUUGUUCGAAGGAUGCUUGCAAGCGUGUUCAUACUUUGUGUCUGAAGACGAGGGAGCUGUUCUUGCAAGACAUGGCUCAAAGACUUGGUUUCUACCUUUGAUGAUGACGUUGGUUGCGAUAGAGAUUUGUUCUUUAAUUUUGGUUUUUCGGAGAUUGGUUCUAUUUUAGUCGUGUAUCUUUCUCUAUAACAAAUCUUAUAUUAGGAAGAUAGAAGUCAAGACCUUAAUCUUUGGUUUUUGAUUAAGGUGAUUGGAAUCGAGAGUUCUUUGGGUUAGGCUUC